rnacentral:tRNA from 1 species
GCCUGGGUGGCUCAGUCGGUUAAGCGUCUGACUUCAGCUCAGGUCAUGAUCUUGGGGUCCUGGGAUCAAGCCCCAAUUCAGGCU